rfam:Prunus persica cultivar Lovell chromosome G5, whole genome shotgun sequence.
UGGCGAUGAUGAAACAAAGGCCGAACUUACGGCUGCUUCCGGUUGGUCGGUAGUAGAUUGAUGAGACUCUUGACGUAAAGGUGUUGUUGCUGAGCCAC